GAUUAUGACUCAUUUAUUCCAGUUUUUAGUAAGCAAUGCCCUGUGGCUUCUGCAACAAGCAGCAGUGGCCACGUGGCAGGGACCGAGCAGAGCAUGAUCGAGCAUGGCACUCUCUGAGCACCGGAGCCUAGGCCUCGACCAGGAGCCAGGGGACAUGGAGGGCUCACUCAGGGGGAUCAGAGGAGCGGGCCAGCUCCAUUCCCUACGAGCCGUGCCACAAGUGCCAUGACAGACUGAUGGACGGAUGAGGGUGAGCUCAGAGGAGGCGGCAGGAGAGCGAAAGGCGCAUCUGUGAGGGGCACUCAGCCUCAGCGUGGCAGAGAAGGUGGGAUGGCGGGCAGAGGCCACACCCUCAGCCGUGCUACUGAGACAGUAAAUCCAAGGCAGGGAGCGGAGGAAGACGGGGCAGAGAGAUGGUCAGCGUCUGGGUAAGGGACUUGGUCUUGUGUGGGAAAUGGAGCCUACUGGAGGGUUUAAAGAUGGGAAGGAUGUGGUCAGAAAUGAGUUUCUGAAAACUGGUCCUGGCAGCCAUGGUGCCCUCCAGGGAUGGACAGAGGGAGACGCCACAUAGGCAGUGAGACCCAGCAGGACACUAGCGCCAUUCCUGCAGGAGGAGAUGACAAGGCCUGAACGUGGAGGGGGAUGGGAAGAAACAAUUUAGAACUCUUUAAGAGGCCAGAGGACUAGGUGACAGACAGAGGAGCAUGAAGCACUCAGGAACGCUUCAAGUAACAGAAACCCCCACAAAUGUGAUGGGGUGAUUUCACACACAAAAAAAAGAUCAGGAGACAGCAGUCAGGUUGAAAUGAACGUGGCUCUGUAAUGCCAUCCCUCCACCUUUCCCCUGCACCAUCCUCAAUGAGUGGCUCUUUGUCCUUAAGCAUGUGGCCUCGGGGUCACAAGAUGGCUGAGCGACUUCAGUGGAGUUCAUUGGUACCCAGAACAAAAUCAGAAUUCAGUUAGGGAGGAGGAGCAGAUGAGUAUUGGCUGGGCACUUAGCAGCAUCUAGGGGGCGCCCCCGGUUUGACAAGCCAGUUUGGAGGCACAUAAAGUUUGAGGUGCCCAUGGGCAUCCGGGGAAGCUGGGCAGUUAGAUGAAGUUAGCUUCAGGGGCACCUGAAGCUUGGGUGAGGACGGUCACCUGAAGCCAUAGACUCAGGAUCACCAGCUCAUAAUGAAAGAUGACCUUCCGGAAGUUUCCGAGUCCAUUCCACGAGUCUGCUCUAGAAACUGCACGUCCUCUAGACCUACCAAAACAAGAACGGGGCAUGGUGUCAGGCUUCCAGAAGAGAGAAAUCCCAUUGCCUCAGCUCUGGGACAGUUUCUGUGGGUGAACCUUGGCCCCCGUGAGCUGAUGCGCUCCUCGGGGGACGGCUGUGCCUCCCUCCUGGUCCCCUGGCAGUGCACACAGGGCAAGACUAAACACACAAGGUCGACAGACAGAGCGGCAGGACCUCUGCUCACGCUGUGUUCCAAGCCCUUCCUUUAGCAAGGCUCGCCGUCCAUCUUUGCCACUGUGGUUGACAUAGCUGCUGGCAUGGAGAUGCGCCCCUUGUGCCUUCUCCCACCAGCACUCAGGACCCUCAUCUGUGAUCAGAGCUGCCAGGAAGGUGGCCUCCUUGCUCAUUGUUAAUCAUCCAUUUAGUUAGACCGACAAGGGCCUUCCCUCAGUGACUGGCCCUUCCGCACAACCAGAGCCAGGCCUGGACUGUCCCUGGCAGCAGCCUGCCCGCGUCCUCCCACGGGCCCACAGUGGCCCCUCCUGGGGAGCCCAGGGACCCAAGAGCAGGCCAGGCAAGGCUGUCUGGACCAUCCCUCCCCUUCUCUCUGCCUCACUGACCGAAGGCAGCUUCUGAAGAAGGGGGAUCUUCUCAAACGAAGGCGUUUUGCAGCUCCUCAGCAG
rnacentral:lncRNA from 1 species